rnacentral:rRNA from 1 species
UACGGGGGGGCAAGCGUUGUUCGGAAUUACUGGGCGUAAAGGGCGCGUAGGCGGUCAGAUCAAGUCGAGUGUGAAAUUCCAGGGCUUAACUCUGGCGGGUCGCUCGAUACUGGUCGACUAGAGUGUGGAAGAGGAUGUCGGAAUUCCCGGUGUAGCGGUGAAAUGCGCAGAUAUCGGGAGGAACACCCGUAGCGAAGGCGGCACUCUGGGCCGGUACUGGACGCUGAGGAGCG